GACACCGUCAAGGACAAGCACCUGGACUAUCUCCUCCCACAAAGAGAUACAGACUGGUGGGAAAGCUGCUGACCAGCAAGGUCACAGGCUUCCUCCUCUCUGUAAAUGUCUCAAGGCCGAAGACAGGCUGGUUGGGAAAGCUCCGACCAGCAAGGCCAUAUGCUCCCCCUCCCCUACCUAAAACCCCAAAUAGAAACCCUUCCUUUUAGCUUUUCGGGGAGUUUGGGAUUUCAGCGUUAGCUGCCCUCUCUCCUUGCUCAGCACUGUGCAAAAAUAAAGUUCCUACUUUCUUCCACCACCCCCGGUGUCAGAGAUUGGCUUGCUGCGCAACGGGACCGGCUGGAAAUAAUGGGUACCCUGGCAGCCCUCUGGGCUCCAUUUGUUUUGAAGUUGCCCGACGCCCCGGCCAAAUUUUGAAAAUCUUCUUAUUAAAUACCUGGUUACUUACUUACAUGAUACAGGCCUACCUUCAGGAGCCCACCAGCAUCACCGCCUUAUUAAAAGACUGGUUCAAUGAGAUGAAACGACCUAUGCCCCAUUUCAGCAGGAAGUAGCUAGAUCCGUCGCCGCCCCAAAUCCCUCAAGAUUGAGGGAGGACAUAAAAUAGGGGGGAGUUGAUAUCGACCCUGAUAUCAGUUUCCCCACAUUAAACUCAGCAUGUAUGGGGUUAAAACCAAAACACUCAUUCCCUGCUUACUCUCUGGCUUCCUGGCUCCAGAAUCCACUAUCCUCCAUGAAGACAGACACCGCCAAGGACAAGCACCUGGACUAUCUCCUCCCGCAAAGAGAUCCGGGCUGAUGGGGAAGCUCCAACCAGCAAGGCCAUAUGCUCCCCCUCCCCUACCUAAAACCCCAAAUAAAAACCCUUCCUUUUAGCUUUUCGGGGAGUUUGGGAUUUCAGCGUUAGCUACCCUCUCUCCUUGCUCAGCACUGUGCAAAAAUAAAGUUCCUACUUUCUUCCACCACCCCCCGUGUCAGAGAUUGGCUUGCUGCACAACGGGUGAGGGAACUCACUUCAUGAUUGGUAACAACAUGACCUCCUUUCACCUCAGUUACUUCUUCAAAGGCACUGUCUUCAAACACAGUCACAGGCUGAGGUACUAGGAGUUAGGACCUUGUCAUAUGAAUUUUGAGGGGGACACAAUUCAGUCCGUAACAAGAGGGAAGGGAAUAUCUUGUUUCUAGACAUUUUCUUUCUUCCACUGGAAUACACUCAAAUGAAUACAAAGUCCCCUCCUAGAGUUUAUCCUCUUUUCCUACUGUGUCUGUUGAGUAGCCAUCAUCCAGCCAUAAGUUCUUCUCGGGUUGUUCUUUGUUCUAAAUGCAAGGCUCCUUUGGGAUCAUCAGCCCCCUCUCAGAUCCUUACAUGCC
rnacentral:lncRNA from 1 species